rnacentral:rRNA from 1 species
CAGCAGCCGCGGGAAAACGAAGGGGGCUAGCGUUGCUCGGAAUCACUGGGCGUAAAGGGUGCGUAGGCGGGUCUUUAAGUCAGGGGUGAAAUCCUGGAGCUCAACUCCAGAACUGCCUUUGAUACUGAAGAUCUUGAGUUCGGGAGAGGUGAGUGGAACUGCGAGUGUAGAGGUGAAAUUCGUAGAUAUUCGCAAGAACACCAGUGGCGAAGGCGGCUCACUGGCCCGAUACUGACGCUGAGGCACGAAAGCGUGGGGAGCAAACAGGAUUAGAUACCCGCGUAGUCCCUGUCUCUUAUAC